UACGUAGGGUGCAAGCGUUAUCCGGAAUUAUUGGGCGUAAAGAGCUCGUAGGCGGUCUGUCGCGUCUGCUGUGAAAACCUAGGGCUUAACUCUGGGCGUGCAGUGGGUACGGGCAGACUAGAGUGCGGUAGGGGAGACUGGAAUUCCUGGUGUAGCGGUGAAAUGCGCAGAUAUCAGGAGGAACACCGGUGGCGAAGGCGGGUCUCUGGGCCGUAACUGACGCUGAGGAGCGAAAGCAUGGGGAGCGAACAGG
rnacentral:rRNA from 1 species